rnacentral:rRNA from 1 species
AACGAACGCUGGCGGCAGGCCUAACACAUGCAAGUCGAGCGAGAUCUUCGGGUCUAGCGGCGGACGGGUGAGUAACGCGUGGGGACGUGCCCUUUGCUACGGAAUAGCCCCGGGAAACUGGGGGUAAUACCGUAUGUGCCCUUUGGGGGAAAGAUUUAUCGGCAAAGGAUCGGCCCGCGUUGGAUUAGGUAGUUGGUGGGGUAAUGGCCUACCAAGCCGACGAUCCAUAGCUGGUUUGAGAGGAUGAUCAGCCACACUGGGACUGAGACACGGCCCAGACUCCUACGGGAGGCAGCAGUGGGGAAUCUUAGACAAUGGGGGAAACCCUGAUCUAGCCAUGCCGCGUGAGCGAUGAAGGCCUUAGGGUUGUAAAGCUCUUUCAGCUGGGAAGAUAAUGACGGUACCAGCAGAAGAAGCCCCGGCUAACUCCGUGCCAGCAGCCGCCGUAAGAC